rnacentral:rRNA from 1 species
ACUCCUACGGGAGGCAGCAGUGGGGAAUUUUGCGCAAUGGGGGCAACCCUGACGCAGCAACGCCGCGUGAGUGAUGAAGGCCUUUGGGUCGUAAAGCUCUGCCAGAGGGAAAGAAAUGUGGGUGGCUAAUAUCCAUUCCACUUGACGGUACCCUCAAAGGAAGCACCGGCUAACUCCGUGCCAGCAGCCGCGGUAAUACGGAGGGUGCGAGCGUUGUUCGGAAUUAUUGGGCGUAAAGCGCGUGUAGGCGGUUUUGUAAGUCUGAUGUGAAAGCCCUGGGCUCAACCUGGGAAGUGCAUUGGAUACUGCAAGACUUGAGUACGGGAGAGGGUAGUGGAAUUCCCAGUGUAGGAGUGAAAUCCGUAGAUAUUGGGAGGAACACCGGUGGCGAAGGCGGCUGCCUGGACCGAUACUGACGCUGAGACGCGAAAGCGUGGGGAGCAAACAGGAUUAGAUACCCUGGUAGUCCACGCCGUAAACGAUGAGAACUAGGUGUCGCGGGUA